rnacentral:rRNA from 1 species
GAUGAACGCUAGCGGCAGGCUUAACACAUGCAAGUCGAGGGGUAUAGUUCUUCGGAAUUAGAGACCGGCGCACGGGUGCGUAACGCGUAUGCAAUCUACCUUUUGCAGAGGGAUAGCCAGAGAAAUUUGGAUUAAUACCUCAUAGUAUAGCACAACCGCAUGGUUGAGUUAUUAAAGUCACAACGGCAAAAGAUGAGCAU